UCCUACGGGAGGCAGCAGUGAGGAAUAUUGGUCAAUGGGCGCGAGCCUGAACCAGCCAAGUCGCGUGAGGGAAGACGGUCCUAUGGAUUGUAAACCUCUUUUGUCGGGGAGCAAAAGACGCCACGCGUGGCGUUCCGAGAGUACCCGAAGAAAAAGCAUCGGCUAACUCCGUGCCAGCAGCCGCGGUAAUACGGAGGAUGCGAGCGUUAUCCGGAUUUAUUGGGUUUAAAGGGUGCGCAGGCGGAAGAUCAAGUCUGGAGUGAAAGCCCGGGGCCCAACCCCGGAAAUGCUCUGGAAACUGUGCG
rnacentral:rRNA from 1 species